GGGGCAUCUGUGGGGUUUGGGGACACCACUAUGGGGUGAGGGGACACUGCUAUGGGGUUUGGGGCCAUGGCUGUGGGGUGUGGGGACACUGCUAUGGGGUUUGGGGUUAUCUAUGGGGUUUGGGGCCAUGGCUAUGGGGUCUGGGGACACCGCUAUUGGGUUUGGGGUUAUCUAUGGGGUUUGGGGUCAUUGCUAUAGGGUUUGGGGACGCUGCUAUGGGGUCUGGGGGCAUCUGUGGGGUGUGGGGACACCACUAUGGGGUUUGGGGCCAUGGCUAUGGGGUCUGGGGACACCACUAUGGGGUUUGGGGACAUCACUAUGGGGUUUAGGGACACUGCUAUGGGGUUUGGAGACACCGCUAUGGGGUUUGGGGUCAUUGCUAUGGGGUUUGGGGUUAUCUCUGGGGUUUGGGGUUAUCUGUGGGGUUUGGGGCCAUGGCUGUGGGUCCCACUUAUGGGGCUCUGGUUGUGGGGUCCCAACCUGUGCCCCCACCCCACAGAGUCCCCGUGUUGGUGGCCGCGGUGCUGCUGCUGCUCCUGGCCAACGCUGAGGCCGAUGAGCCCAGUGGCCCCGCAAAGCUGGAGGCGUCCGGAGAGAGUGACCUCAGCACCUCAGGGCAGCGCGUGGCCACAGGUGUCACCGCCGUCAGCUUUGAGCCCCCGGAUCCGCCCGGUGGUGACUCUUCAUCUUCAUCUUCAUCAUCAUCAUCAUCGUCAGCCAUGGACGGG
rnacentral:lncRNA from 1 species